UACGAGAGGCCCAAACGUUAUUCGGAAUUACUGGGCUUAAAGAGUUCGUAGGCGGCAUUGCAAGUAGGGUGUGAAAGCCCUCGGCUCAACCGAGGAAUUGCGCUCUAAACUGCAGUGCUUGAGGAACCUAGAGGUGAGCAGAACAGAUGGUGGAGCGGUGAAAUGCGUUGAUAUCAUCUGGAAUACCGGAGGCGAAGGCGGCUCACUGGGAGUUUUCUGACGCUGAGGAA
rnacentral:rRNA from 1 species